rnacentral:rRNA from 1 species
ACNGAAUAACGCAGGGAAACUUGUGCUAAUACCGUAUGAGCCCUUCGGGGGAAAGAUUUAUCGGGAAAGGAUGAGCCCGCGUUGGAUUAGCUAGUUGGUGGGGUAAAGGCCUACCAAGGCGACGAUCCAUAGCUGGUCUGAGAGGAUGAUCAGCCACAUUGGGACUGAGACACGGCCCAAACUCCUACGGGAGGCAGCAGUGGGGAAUAUUGGACAAUGGGCGCAAGCCUGAUCCAGCCAUGCCGCGNGAGUGAUGAAGGCCCUAGGGUUGUAAAGCUCUUUCACCGGUGAAGAUAAUGACGGNAACCGGAGAAGAAGCCCCGGCUAACUUCGUGCCAGCAGCCGCGGUAAUACGAAGGGGGCUAGCGUUGUUCGGAAUUACUGGGCGUAAAGCGCACGUAGGCGGAUUGUUAAGUGAGGGGUGAAAUCCCAGGGCUCAACCCUGGAACUGCCUUUCAUACUGGCAAUCUAGAGUCCAGAAGAGGUGAGUGGAAUUCC